GUUUCGGGCCAAAAAGCUGAAAUAAAGAACGAAGUCAAUAAUAAUAUGAAGUGUAUGAGAAAUAGCUGGAAAAUUCAUCAUCCAUGACUUGAAGAAAUUGACGUUUUACAAGUUAUAUUUUCGGUGAAGAGGCACUUUCAAGAUCCUUCUCUGAGACCUGCACCAAUAAGACUAUACCAAUGUUCAGUUGAAACAUCAGACACUGUUCUGGUUAUGAUGGACACCACAAUGAAAGAGACCUGGUCCCUGUCUUGAGGAAAUCCAACUGCUGGUAGAGAGCUCAGAGUAAUGAUUAGGAUGCAAUAUGAGGGAUGCAGUAAUUGGGAUCUACUUCUGGGAACCGUCACAGCCUGAGAAAGAUGGCAUGCCCUGAAUGGAAUUCACAGAGAAUUAUUUUAAGUCAUGCUACUGGCCCCGCCCAGUUAUGUAACAACUUGCAUUUCCUCAAUUCUCUGGAAUGUGGCCAGUCAGGAACUUCCACAUUUGGUUUUUUUUUUUUUUUUCCCCCCAUUUGUGGGUAAGAAAGUAAAAGAGGCAGGAAAACUGAAUUGAGAAAGAAGAAAGAAUAGGGGAAGAGAGAAAGAAAAAAGAAAACCAUGAAGCCUGGAAGAGGAGAAAGAAGAGAUAGAUGAGCAAAGAAGCACAUUGCCUGGUGGUAGUAAUAGUUGUCAGACACCCAUCUAUUAUAAUCUGUUUUCCAUGGGAGAUUUUAAGAAGAGGCUAGAUCCCCAGUCUGUCUUAAAAUCAAGAAAAGGGACUCUGUUGCCUCUAAAGUAUACUUCCAGACUCAGCAAUCUCUAAAUUCUGAGUGGGGCAUCCCUAGUUUUGCUGCCUAAAAUCUAUGACAGUUGGAAAUGAUUCCAUUUAAGAUCCAGUUCAAGAAGCUAUACACCCUGAGGAACUUUAUAUUGCCAUUUAAAGGACUGAUAUUCUCCAGAUUGCUUGAGCCCAGGAGUUCGAGACCAGCCUGGGCAACAUGGCAAAACUCCAUCUCUACCAAAAAAAAAAAAAAACAAAAUUAGCUGGGCAUGGUGGUACACAUCUGUAGAACCAGCUACUCUGGAGGCUGAGCUGAGAGAACCCCUUGAGCCUAGGAGAUGGAGGUUGCUGUGAGCCAAGAUCGUGCCACUGCACUCAAGCCUGGGUGACAGAGCCAGACGCUAUCUCAUAAAUAAAUAAAUGUCAAUAUUCUCC